rnacentral:rRNA from 1 species
GACGAACGCUGGCGGCGCGCCUAACACAUGCAAGUCGAACGGAGCUUACAGACGGAAGUUUUCGGAUGGAAGGCUGUAAGCUUAGUGGCGGACGGGUGAGUAACACGUGAGCAACCUGCCUAUCAGAGGGGGAUAACGAUUGGAAACGAUCGCUAAUACCGCAUGACAUAGCGGAAUCGCAUGGUUCUGUUAUCAAAGAUUUUAUCGCUGAUAGAUGGGCUCGCGUCCGAUUAGAUAGUUGGUGGGGUAACGGCCUACCAAGUCGACGAUCGGUAGCCGGACUGAGAGGUUGAACGGCCACAUUGGGACUGAGACACGGCCCAAACUCCUACGGGAGGCAGCAGUGGGGAAUAUUGCACAAUGGGGGAAACCCUGAUGCAGCGACGCCGCGUGAGUGAAGAAGUAUUCGGUAUGUAAAGCUCUAUCAGCAGGGAAGAAGAAAUGACGGUACCUGACUAAGAAGCACCGGCUAAAUACGUGCCAGCAGCCG